rnacentral:SRP_RNA from 1 species
ACCAGGUGGGGUGGCACAUGCCUGUAGUCCUAGCUACUCAGGAAGCUGAGGUGGGAGGGCUGCUUGAGCUUGGAAGCUCUGGGCUGUAGUGCAUUAUGCUCGAGUGUCCACACUAUGUUCAGCAUCAAUGGGUGACCUCCCAGGAGUGGGAGACCACCAAGUUGCCUAAGGAGAGAUGAACUUGCCUAGGUAGGAAAUGGAGCAGGUCAAAACUCACUUCCUGAUCAGUAGUGGGAUAGUGCUUGUGAAUAGCCAUUGCACUACAGCCUGGGCAACACAGUGAGACCCAUCAU